CCUACGGGAGGCACCAGUGGGGAAUAUUGCACAAUGGGCGGAAGCCUGAUGCGGCAACGCCGCGUGAGGGGUGACGGCCUUCGGGUUGUAAACCUCUUUUAGCAGGGAAGAAGCGAGAGUGACGGUACCUGCAGAAAAAGCGCCGGCUAACUACGUGCCAGCAGCCGCGGUAAUACGUAGGGCGCAAGCGUUAUCCGGAAUUAUUGGGCGUAGAGAGCUCGUAGGCGGUUUGUCGCGUCUGCUGUGAAAUCCCGAGGCUCAACCUCGGGCCUGCAGUGGGUACGGGCAGACUAGAGUGCGGUAGGGGAGAUUGGAAUUCCUGGUGUAGCGGUGGAAUGCGCAGAUAUCAGGAGGAACACCGAUGGCGAAGGCAGAUCUCUGGGCCGUAACUGACGCUGUGGAGCGAAAGGGUGGGGAGCAAACAGGAUUAGAUACCCCUGUAGUC
rnacentral:rRNA from 1 species